rnacentral:rRNA from 1 species
AGUCGAGCGCAGUCAUUACCUUCGGGUGGUGACCGAGCGGCGGACGGGUUAGUAACGCGUGGGAAUGUACCCUUCUCUACGGAAUAGCCUCGGGAAACUGAGAGUAAUACCGUAUACGCCCUUUUGGGGAAAGAUUUAUCGGAGAAGGAUCAGCCCGCGUAAGAUUAGAUAGUUGGUGGGGUAAUGGCCUACCAAGUCUACGAUCUUUAGCUGGUUUUAGAGGAUGAUCAGCAACACUGGGACUGAGACACGGCCCAGACUCCUACGGGAGGCAGCAGUGGGGAAUCUUGGACAAUGGGCGCAAGCCUGAUCCAGCCAUGCCGCGUGUGUGAUGAAGGCCUUAGGGUCGUAAAGCACUUUCGCUAGAGAUGAUAAUGACAGUAUCUAGUAAAGAAGUCCCGGCUAACUCCGUGCCAGCAGCCGCGGUAAUACGGAGGGGACUAGCGUUGUUCGGAAUUACUGGGCGUAAAGCGUACGUAGGCGGACCAGAAAGUAUGGGGUGAAAUCCCAGGGCUCAACCCUGGAACUGCCUCAUAAACUCCUGGUCUAGAGUUCGAGAGAGGUGAGUGGAAUUCCGAGUGUAGAGGUGAAAUUCGUAGAUAUUCGGAGGAACACCAGUGGCGAAGGCGGCUCACUGGCUCGAUACUGACGCUGAGGUACGAAAGUGUGGGGAGCAAACAGGAUUAGAUACCCUGGUAGUCCACACCGUAAACGAUGAAUGCCAGUCGU